UGGUCAUUUAGAGGAAGUAAAAGUCGUAACAAGG
rnacentral:rRNA from 1 species